rnacentral:rRNA from 1 species
UGAGGAAUAUUGCACAAUGGGCGCAAGCCUGACGCAGCGACGCCGCGUGAGUGAUGAAGGCCUUCGGGUCGUAAAGCUCUUUUCUAGGUGACGAGAAUGGACGGUAGCCUAGGAAUAAGUGUCGGCUAACUACGUGCCAGCAGCCGCGGUAAAACGUAGGACACAAACGUUAUCCGGAGUUACUGGGCGUAAAGGGCGCGCAGGCGGAUCGGUAAGUCUACUCUGAAAGCUCCUGGCUAAACUGGGAGAGGCGAGUGGAGACUGUCGGUCUAGAGUGAGGAAGAGGAAAGUGGAAUUCCGCGUGUAGUGGUGAAAUGCGUAGAGAUGCGGAGGAACACCAGUGGCGAAAGCGGCUUUCUGGUCCUUAACUGACGCUGAGGCGCGAAAGCAUGGGGAGCGAACGGGAUUAGAAACCCCGGUAGUCCAUGCCGUAAACGAUAUUCACUAAACGUUCGUUUCCCGCGAGGGAAGCGGGUGUUGAAGCUAACGCAGUAAGUGAACCGCCUGGGGAGUACGGUCGCAAGGCUA